AGUCGAGCGGUAACAGAAAUUAGCUUGCUAAUUUGCUGACGAGCGGCGGACGGGUGAGUAAUGCCUGGGAAUAUGCCUUGAUGUGGGGGAUAACUAUUGGAAACGAUAGCUAAUACCGCAUAAUGCCUACGGGCCAAAGAGGGGGAUCUUCGGACCUCUCGCGUCAAGAUUAGCCCAGGUGGGAUUAGCUAGUUGGUGGGGUAAUGGCUCACCAAGGCGACGAUCCCUAGCUGGUUUGAGAGGAUGAUCAGCCACACUGGAACUGAGACACGGUCCAGACUCCUACGGGAGGCAGCAGUGGGGAAUAUUGCACAAUGGGGGAAACCCUGAUGCAGCCAUGCCGCGUGUAUGAAGAAGGCCUUCGGGUUGUAAAGUACUUUCAGUUGUGAGGAAGGCGGUAACGUUAAUAGCGUUGCCGUUUGACGUUAGCAACAGAAGAAGCACCGGCUAACUCCGUGCCAGCAGCCGCGGUAAUACGGAGGGUGCGAGCGUUAAUCGGAAUUACUGGGCGUAAAGCGCAUGCAGGCGGUCUGUUAAGCAAG
rnacentral:rRNA from 1 species